rnacentral:rRNA from 1 species
CCUACGGGUGGCAGCAGUAGGGAAUAUUGCUCAAUGGGGGAAACCCUGAAGCAGCAACGCCGCGUGGAGGAUGAAGGUUUUCGGAUUUUAAACUCCUUUUGUUAGAGAAGAAAAUGACGGUAUCUAACGAAUAAGCACGGGCUAACUCCGUGCCAGCAGCCGCGGUAAUACGGAGGGUGCAAGCGUAACUCGGAAUCACUGGGCGUAAAGAGCGCGGAGGCGGGAUAGCAAGUCAGAUGUGAAAUCCUAUGGCUUAACCAUAGAACUGCAUUUGAAACUGUGAGUCUAGAGUAUGGGAGAGGUAGGUGGAAUUCGUGGUGUAGGGGUAAAAUGCGUAGAGAUCAAGAGGAAUACUCAUUGCGAAGGCGACCUGCUGGAACAUAACUGACGCUGAGGCGCGAAGGCGUGGGGAGCAAACAGGAUUAGAUACCCCUGUAGUC